rnacentral:tRNA from 2 species
GGGGUAUAGCUCAGCUGGUAGAGCACUGCCUUUGCACGGCAGGAGUCAGCGGUUCGAAUCCGCUUACCUCCA